rnacentral:lncRNA from 1 species
AGUUAUCAUAAAUUUGAAUUGACAAAAAUUAUCUGUAAUUAAUUGUACCAUUACCGCUGAUUUUUUAGACACAAUUUAAUACGAAAUAACCUUCAAAGACAGAUUGAAACUGAAAUAACACUGCAUGGCCAUUCACAUGACCUGCACAGUGCGGCGCUGUGCAAGGUUCCAACGGCUACUUCUGCAAUAAAUGGUCAAACACUCCAGUCAAUGGUCAAAAGUGAUGAAUAAUACGACACAAAUUUGCUCGAAUCUCUUUCCCAUUAUGGUUAUCCUAAUUGUAGAUAGUUGUUUUUAAGUAUAGUAAUUCAUUAUUGGUACUUUAUUUUUGAAAAGAUGCUGGAAUUUUACUAAUGCUCUGAAUAGAAAACUGGAGAAACAAAAUCACGUAACCCUAAAGGAGUAGCUAUCCCGGUAAAGGGAGAAACUAUGAAACACGGGCGGCGAGCUAACUCGUGAGCUGCUCGAUUUUGAUUUCUCCUAACGAAGACCACUUCACAAGUGGGAUUAAAGGAUAGAAACUGAAAACAAAGACGAGCUAGACGACCUUUCUCAGUAACAUCAACAGAGCAGUUCCGAAUCGCAGUGCAGGCAGCCUAGCAAUCUGUUUCAAAUAUAACAUGCUUAAGGCUCUUGUUUGUGGCCCAAGCCAUAGCCAAGAAGAGAGCAUAUAGUUCGCCUUCAAUAAAAGAGAGCUUACACGGCAGGUAGUGCUCUAAAAUCCAAGCACCUGGCCUGUGAAGUUUUAGAGAAGGAGACUGAAAUCGCAAAGCCUGGCUGGUGGAAAAUAGCAAAAUCAGUGUUGAUCUUCUACUGCCCAAUUUUGGCGGAUGCCAAUUCGAACAAGGUGAUGAUGAAGGACCAUGAACUUGAGAAGGAGGUUAUCUUGCAAGUUUCCAUUCUUUAAGUUGGUCGAGAUUGAGCUGCACAAUCAGUUUGGAGUGUGAGAGGACGAGUUUGGGAAGGACUAUUUCAUCGUUUGAUAUAUUUAUGAGUAUUUUACCCGAAUUUAAAUAACAAGAGUUUAAAGUGGCUAAUCUACCCCCAAUUUUAAAGAAAGUCAAAGCCUUCAAUAUUGUUAUGUGACCAACUAAAGCAUAGGUUUAUAAGAAUUAAAACACAUAGGAGAUGUUGAAUAAGGGGGGAUUAAAGUAAGUAGGUUUAUCCAUGUGGAGACUCUCAAGAAUAUCUGAAUCACGAUAGAUUCACGUUAUAUUUGUUAUUCCAAACUCUGAAGAUGAUCAUAUGAUAGGUUGUCAUGUCGUAUACUUUCUUCAUAGUGCAUGUGGUGUAUUACAUAGUAUAACUCGCUACACAAAUUUUGUAUCGAUUGUAAAUCAUUCAAGUCAUCUUUAGGGUUAGUUAAUUAAAAAGUCACCUAAAGACUUCCAACUUGAAACAUUUUUUGUUAAUAAACAGUUGGAAAUCAUAAUAAAAAGGAGGUAUGUUAAGCAUAUUUCCUAUCAUUGACUAAAUGCAUCCACACAGGUUUGUGUUAUUGGCGAUUGGAAAGCCAUUGACUUUACUCUCAUAAAUGCAACAACUUCAACACCAAGCUGCACACAUGAACUCCUUUGCCACUGCUACAAUAAUGUACUCGGUUUAAUUGUGGAUAGACAAUUGAUUUGUAAACAUAAACAUCCCACUUUGAGAAGAUCGUGUUCUCUUCUUAUAUAUCAUAUCUCAAAAUCUCUUCUCAAAUUUGGCAACAGUUCAUUUACGCUCUUCAUAACAAUCAGUAUGAAUAGACAUAAUUUGUCAUUAUAUAACUGUUGCAUGAGCUUGUCCGAAGUGUGCAUAUGCAUUUUAAUUUAUAAUGAAUGAACACAAACAAUUAAUGAAAUUAGAGAUGAACCUAUACAAGUAUCAUGUUGACUACAUAUGACGCGGCUUGAACAUAUUGUCCAAUAUUUCUACAAAGACGUAAAAAUUCAACAGCUCCAAGCUUGUAAGUUGAAUUGUCAUUAGGUUGAAUCUUGAAAAUAAUAGAACACAGUCUCAAAUAUUCAUCAUUUCGAAAAUACGCUUCGCAACUCAUGGUUCUUAAGUUCAUAGUAAUUUACGAGAUUAUUAAGUAAGUUAUGUUCAGUCACUCCUCGAUAAACAUUGUCCAAAUACGUCCACUUUUAGAAAGAUUUUUUUUAAUUAAGAUGCCUCAUAUAAACCUUGACAACCAAACUCCCUGAAACAAUGGAAUUACCUAUAUUAAAUCAUCUCUAAUCUAGAUGAUUUGAUAUGUACCAUAGAUUUAUAGUACUUAUAUGGUAUGAAAACCCUAGCUGUCUCUUUCAUCUUUUUUGUGUGUGAAAAUCUACUGCCACCCCUCUCUGGUCGUUACUUUUGCAUGAACUAGGUCUCGCCGAUGAAGACCACGACGACGAUUUAAUAGGCUGCGGUUUUGGGAACGAAGACUAAAUCGGCAGGGGAAUCUUCGUGUUCGGCUGGUUCGGAAGGAAUCACCGAGUGCGACGGGGAAGCAUCGGGGUCGGUGAGGAAUCCAUCGGAUCUAGCUUCCCGAAAUUGGUUCCGGAUUUCCACUGUCCAAUAGAUUCGAUUCUGGGUUUACAAGGUCAGAUUUAGAUUCCUAAAAUCAUGAGGUUGAUGGAAUGGAGAGUUAAGGUUUUGAAGGUUUGUCUUCCAUUAGAACGAUUUCUGAUUUGGGUUUCAAUUAUCUCUAAUAUUCAUCUUCCCUAAUGUUGCAGAUAGGUCUUUCCAUUGAAAGAGUUUGGAGGAUUCGACAGCUACUGAAUCACAGGUUUGUCUCUGAAUUGAACGAUUUCCGAUUUGGUUUUCAUGCAUCCUUAAUAUUCAAACUAAUAUUCCAUGUCUAGCUUUCAAUUGAACGAGUUCAGAGGAAUCGAUAACUAAGGAAUCUCAGGUUCCCCAAUUCUCCCCCAAUGCUCCCCCAAUGCUCCCCCAAAACCCCUAAAGCCGUAUACAAAUCAGUCCACAAACUCACAAAGUCCCAAGAAAUAAAUAUUACAAAACACUAAAAAAAUUUACAGGUGUCUUCUGUCGUCAUCCACGUAGAAGCCGUCAAAAGAGGAUUUUGUCGUCACCCACAAAGGGCGUCGCCUCCUGAAACACAAGAAAGAAACUUCGUAUCAAAGGUAUACCAUUCACAAACAUCCCUAUUUUCGAUCAUUCACAUGUCACUCAUAUUUUCAGCUCACGCAUAUGAAUAUGUUUGUUAUGCUAUGUUGUUUAAAGCCAGUUUUAAAUGAAUGAAUAAUCCAUCUUAGCAAACAAUGGACUAAACAAUAAAAUAAACAUACUUAAACAAAUAAAAGUUGUUGGAAAUUACAUUUACAAGAGAUUAAAAGACCAUAUAUCAUCAGUUUCACACCAUUUACGCCAAGAACUCACAACAUAGUUAUGAAAUUAAGCUAAAAAUAUAUUUUUCUAUUAAACAUCAUUGCUGGAAUUUUAUCAAGGAUGACAAAAUAAUCAAAUUUUCAAGCAAAUGGGUAGUUUUUAGGGUGUCCAGAUUACUAAGUUCAUCUUAACAACAAAAUAGUCAAGUUUUAUUUGUUUCAAGUGACCUAAUCAACAACAAAACUACAACCAUCUACCAAGCAAAAUAAGAACAUAUGGAGACUAAUUGUUUUACUUUUCAGAGACAAUCUUUUCCCUUUCCUCCCAAUUUUCUAAAACAAGUCGGUUCUACCCAUUUUCGUAGACAUGAAAAAAAUCAAAAAAAUCGUCAUUCAGUUUCGUUAUCAACUAAACAGAGACUAAUAAAAAGAAACAUGACAUAAUUUUUUUUACCUAACACUCUUUCUCUCUGUUUGUCUCUUCAACGUUGCCGCUGGCGGUGGGGUCUUUUUUUUCCUGUCCACCGGCAUCCUCCGAUGCAUGCUUGCCCGGAUCCGUUCGAAAUUGAAAAAAUAAAAGAGUGAGGGGACAGAUCGGAGUGGUUAC